UAUAAAGCGGUUGUAGGCGCUUGAUGACACCAGUUGAUGGCACAUCCACCUCGAGGCGACAACAUGUGGAAGAUUGUGUUUGCAGUAUUCAGUGUGUUCCUGCUAGUUGUCGCCGGCCUGGCCAGGGCCAUGCCGGAGCCGGGAUACCGUAGCUAUGGCGGUUAUGGCGGCGGACACGGCGGCGGCUACGGUGGAUAUGGAGGCGGCUAUGGUGGAUAUGGUGGAGGCCACGGUGGUGGCUACGGCGGCUACGGUUACGGGCGCUGAAGUGGAAGACUAAAAGAAAUCUUUGCUUUGUUGUUGAGAGAUGAAAAUGAGCGAGCCGUUGAUAAAACAAUGAAUAAAAAUGACCUUUGUAA